AUUGAACGCUGGCGGAAUGCUUUACACAUGCAAGUCGAACGGCAGCACGGACUUCGGUCUGGUGGCGAGUGGCGAACGGGUGAGUAAUGUAUCGGAACGUGCCCAGUCGUGGGGGAUAACGUAGUGAAAAUUACGCUAAUACCGCAUACGAUCUAUGGAUGAAAGCGGGGGAUCGCAAGACCUCGCGCGAUUGGAGCGGCCGAUAUCAGAUUAGGUAGUUGGUGGGGUAAAGGCCCACCAAGCAAACGAUCUGUAGCUAGUCUGAGAGGACGACCAGCCAGACGGGAACUGAGACACGGUCCAGACUCCUACGGGAGGCAGCAGUGGGGAAUUUUGGACAAUGGGCGAAAGCCUGAUCCAGCCAUUCCGCGUGCAGGAUGAAGGCCCUCGGGUUGUAAACUGCUUUUGUACAGAACGAAAAGGUUUCUACUAAUACUAGGAGCUCAUGACGGUACUGUAAGAAUAAGCACCGGCUAACUACGUGCCAGCAGCCGCCGUAA
rnacentral:rRNA from 1 species